UAAAACCCUAAACCCCUAAACCCUAAACCCUAAACCCUUAACCAAACCUAAACCUAUAACCCUAAAAAUAAACCCUAAACUAAACCUAAACCCUACACUAAACCCUAAACCCUAAACCCUAAACCCUAAACCUAAAACCCUAAAAACCCUAACCUAAACCGCUUAAACCCUAACCCUAAACCCUAAACCUAAACCCAAACCCUAAACCCUAAACCCUAAAGCCUAAACCCUAACCUACCCUAACCCUAAACCUAACCUAAACCCUAAACCUAAACCCUAAAACCUAAAACCCUAAACCCUAAAGCCCUACAACCCUUUAAAACCCUAAACCCAAAACCUAAAACCCUAAACCCUAACUGAACAACCAGCGCAGACCCUAACCCUAAACCCUAAACCCUAAACCCUAAACCUAAACCCUGAAACCCUAAACCCUAAACCCUAAACCCUAAAACCCUAAAACCCUAAACCUAAACCCUAACUAAACCCUAAAACCCUAAACCCUAAACCUAAACCCUAAACCCUUAACCCUAAGACCCUAAAAACCCUAAAACCCUAACCUACCCUAAACCCUAAACCCUAAACCCUAAAACCCUAAACCCUAAACUACCACCUAAACCUAAGACCCUAAAACCCUAAACCCUAAACCCUUAAACCUAACCUAAACCCUAAAACCCUGAAACCCUAAACCCUAACCCUAAACCUAAACCCUAAACCCUAAACAAACCCUAAACCCUUAAACCCUAACCUAAACCUAAAACCCUAAACCUAAACCUGAGACCCUAAACCCUAACCCUAAACCUAAACCCUAAACCAUAAACCCUAAACCCUAAACUACCCUAAACCCUAAACCCUAAACCCUAAACAACCUAAACCCGUAAACCCUAAACCCUAAACCCUAAACCCUAAACCUAAACCCUAAACCCUAAACCCUAAAACCCUAAACCGUAAACCCUAAACCUUAAACCUAACCCUAAACCUAAACCCUAAACCCUAAACCUAAACCUAAACCCUGAACAAACCCUAAACCCCUAAAACCCUUAAACCCUAAACCUAAACGCCUAAACCCUAAACCCAAACCCUACAACCCUAAACCCUAAACCUUAAACCCUAACAAACCCUAAACCCUAAACCCUAAACCCUAAACCCUAAAACCGUAAACCUAAAACCCUAAACCACCUAAACCCUAAACCCAAUAAGCCCUAAAACCCUAAACCAACCUAAACCCUAAACCUACAACCUAAACCCUAAGACCCUAAACCCUAAACCUAAACCUAAACCUAACCCAAACCCUUAACCCUAAACGCCUAAACCUAAACCCUACCAAACCCUAAACCCUAAACCCUAAAACGCCUAAACCCUAAACCCUAGCUAAACCCUAAGACCCUAAACCCUAAACGCCGUAACUAAGACUACCGGUACUAACCCUAAACCGCUAAGACCGCUACCUAAACCCUAAACCUAAACCCUAAGCCUAACCCUAAACAACCCUAAAGCCACCCAAACACCUAAACCCUAAACCCUAAACCCUAAACCCUAAGAACAGACCCUAAAAGCCCUAAACCCUAAAAACCUAAACCUAAAACCCUAACCCCAAACCCUAAACCCUAAACCCUAAACCUAAACCCUAAACCCUAAACCCUAAACCCUAAACUAAACCUACAAACCCUAAAACCCUAACCCUAAACCCUAAACCCUAAACCCUAAACCCUAAACCUAAACCCUAAACCCUUAAACCCUAAACCCGUAACCUACAAACCCUAAACCUAAACCGCUAAACCUAAAACCCUAAACCCUAAACCAAACUAAACCCUAACCUAAACCUUACAACCCUAAACCCUAAACCCUCCCUAACCCUUAAACCCUAAACCCUACCAAACCCUACUAAACCCUAAGACCCCUACCCUAAACCUAAACAAACCUAAACCUAAACCCUUAAACCUAAACCUAAAGCCUUAACCCUAAACCCUAAACCCUAAACCCGUAAACCCUACCCAAACCUAACCCUAAACCCUAAACCCUAAACCCUAAAACCACCUUAAACCUAAAACCCUAAAACCCUAAACCCUUUUUAAAACCCUAAACCUAAUGACCUAAACCUAAAACCCAAACCCCUAAAGCCUAAACCCUACCCUAAACCCUAAACCCUAAACCCUAACCUAACCCUAAACCCUAAACCAACCCUAACCCUAAACCUAAACCCUAAAACCCUAAACCCAUAACCCUAAACCUAAUUACCUAAACCUAACCUAAAACCCUAAACCCUAAACCCUAAACCCUAAACCUAAACCCUAAACCCUAAAACCCUAACCUAAACCCAACCUAAACACCUAAACCCGUAAACCCUAAACCCUAAACCUAAACCCUAAACGCCUAAACCCUAAACCCUAAACCCUAAACCUAAACCCAACCUAAACCCCUAAACCCUAACACCUAAACCUAAACCUAAACCUAAACCCUAAACCCUAAACCCUAAACCCUAAACCCUAAACUCUACCUACCUAACUAAACCUAAACCCUAAAACCCCCUAAACCUAAACGCCUAAACCCUAAACCUAAACCCUGAAACCCUAAACCCUAAAACCCUGACAAACCCUAAACCCUAAACCCUAAACCCUAACACGGCCUAAACCCUAAACCCAACCCUAAACCUAAACCGCUAAACCUAAACCCUAAACCCUAAACCCUAAACCCUAACCCUAGAACCCUAAAACCUAAACCCUAAACCCUAAAACCCUAAACCAAACCGCUAACCCUAAACCUAAACCACCCUAAACCUAAACCCUAAACCCUAACACCUAACACCUAACCCUAACCCCUAAGCCCUAAACCUAAGCCUACAAACCUUAAGCCCUAAAAACCCUAAGCCCUAAAACCCUAGCAGCCUACCAAACCCUAAAGCCCUAAAACCCUAGCCCUAAGCCCUAAGCCCUAAAACCCUAGCCCUAAGCCCUACAGCCUAAGCCCUAAACCCUAAAAACCCUAAACCCUAAGACCCCCUAAAAAACCCUAAACCUAAACCCUUAACCCCAAACCCAAACCCCAAACCCUAAAACCCUAAACCUAAGCCCC
rnacentral:lncRNA from 1 species